UAUUUGUGUAACACAUUUACAUUCAUAAUUCAUUAUCUUUCUUGACUUCAAACAACAAAACUAUUUGGUUAAGUCCUUGUCUGCAGGUGUAAUCUGCCUAUAUAUAUUUGAGUAGCCUUUUCUUAAUUUUCACUACCAACUCUAAAAUUGGACUAAAACUCUCAGUACACAGACUUUCUCAGUACUUAGAAGCAACUUGGACUAAAACAUGGGAUACAGACAAUUCUCAUUUCUGCUCUUUGUCUGUUUUUGUCAGCUUUCUUUUUCUUCAUCCAUACCUCAUCUGUGCGCAAAGAUCAAAGAGACGCUCUUCUAAAAUUCAAGAAAACUCUCACUAUAGAUCCCUCAUUAGUUAUGUGUAGUUCCUACUCUUAUACGAGUUCAUGGAAUACGAGCAGAGAUUGUUGCUCGUAGGAUGGAGUCAUAUGUGAUGAGAUGACAGGCCAUGUGAUUGAACUUAAUCUCAGUUGCAGUGGCCUUGUUGGAAAGAUUGAUUCCAAUAGCAGCCUUUUCCAACUCUCUCAUCUCCAAAGGCUCGAUCUUUCUUCUAAUAACUUUUCUAAUUCUCACAUCUCGCCUGAAUUUGGAAGGUUCUCGAGCUUGACACUUCUUGAUCUUUCUGACUCCUAUUUCUCAGGUCAUACUCCUUCUUAAAUAUCUCAUCUUUCUCAAUUACAGUCUCUUCACCUCUUACCGUCAUUUGAAACUAAUCUAACACUCACUGCCCAUGAUUUGAUAUUGCUCCUUCAGAAUUUGACCAAAUUAAGAGAGCUUGAUCUUACUUCCGUAAACAUCUCUUCCACUAUUCCUCCGAAUUUUUCCUCAUUUAACAACUCUGACAGUAAUUUUCACCUUCCCAAUCUGGAAAUACUUGUCUUACAAAACAAUGAUCAGCUCAGUGGUUAUUUUCCAAAGACCAAAUGGAACAGCAGUGCAUCUCUCAUAGAGUUAGAUCUCAGUGGUGUGAAUUUUUCUUGUAAUUUGCCUGAGUCUCUCGGCUAUCUAACUUCACUGCAGUCUGUCUCUUAAAAAUUGCAACCUUAGAGGUCCUAUUCCUGAAUCUCUUCUGAAUCUCGCACGUAUAGGGGAUUUGGACCUUCAAUAUAACUCCCUAAAUGGAACAAUACCAUCAAAGAUGUUCUCCCUACCGUCACUAAGUCGUUAAGUCUUGAGCAAUAACCACUUUUCUGGUCAGUUUGAGGAUUUCAAUUCCAAUUCACUAAUAUGGAUUGAUUUAAGCAAUAAUCAGCUGCAAGGCCAUCUUGCCGAGUCAAUUCAAAACCAUGAUCUCUUAUGAGUUUACAAUUGGCCGCAUGUGAAGUGAAAGAAUUGGAGUUUCUAAGAUCCGCAAAGCAGCUUUAUGACUUGGAUCUUUCAAAUAAUAAGAUUCAAGGAAGAAUUCCAGAUUGGGCAUGGUCUAACUGGAUGUUUGUAUUGCAACGUCUUAAUUUAUCCCACAACAUGCUGGAAAGUGUUGCUUCAAUUCCUCUUUUGUCUAUAGAAGCUAUUGAUUGGUGGUCCAAUUUGCUUCAAGGUCCACUACCUAUUCCACCAAUUUCCACAAGAUUCUUCUUCAUAUCCCAUAAUAAUCUCAGUGAAGAAAUUCCUUCAGAUAUUUGCAAUUUGACAUCACUGGUGAUGCUUGAUUUGGCAAGAAACAACUUGAAAGGAGCAAUUCCACAAUGUUUGGGUAAUAUCAGUGGCCUCGAGGUUCUGGAUAUGCACCACAACAGUCUUUCAGGGACUCUUCCGGUGACUUUUAGAAUUGGAAGUUCACUCAGAAGCUUCAACUUUCAUGGCAAUAAGCUGGAGGGGAAAAUCCCACAAUCCUUGACCAAUUGCAAGCAACUCGAUGUUCUUGAUUUAGGAGACGAUCACCUCAACGACACAUUCCCCGUGUGGUUGGGGACUCUGCCAAAGCUGAAAGUUCUAAGUUUGAGAUCCAAUAAAUUGCAUGGGUCCAUUAGAACUCUAACGACUCAAAACUUGUUUCCUCAGCUUAGAAUAUUAGAUCUCUCCUCCAAUGCGUUCACAAAAAGCUUACCAACGAAUCUGUUUCAACAUUUGAAAACCAUGAGGACAAUUGAUCAAACGAUGAAUGCACCAAGUGAUGAAGGAGAUCGAUAUUACCAAGACUCAGUAGCUCUCGUAACAAAGAGAUUGGAGCUUGAAGUUGUGAGAAUCUUGUUUUUGUACACCAUUGUGGAUCUUUCAAACAACAAAUUUGAAGGACAUAUUCCAAGUAUUAUGGGAGAUCUCAUUGCACUACGUCAGCUGAAUUUAUCUCAUAAUGGGUUGCAAGGUCAUAAACCGCCAUCACUUGGAAGUUUAUCUUCGGUUGAAUCAUUGAACUUUUCAGGUAACCAUCUUGUAGGAGAGAUACCAGCACGAUUUGCUUCUCUUACAUCUCUUGAAGUCUUAAAUCUCUCCUACAAUCAUCUGUAAGGGUUCAUUCCUCAAGGACCUCAAUUCGAUACCUUUGAGAGCAAUUCAUAUGAAGGUAACGAUAGAUUAUGUGAAUUCCCACAUUCAAAAGGUUGUGGUAAUGAUGGUAAUGAUUCAGUAUCAGAGACAAAUCAUACCACAUCUGUUAUAGAUGUUGAAGAAAGCGACUCUGAAUUUCUGAAUGAUUUUUGGAAAGCUGCUCUUAUGGGCUUUGGAAGUGGACUAUGUAUUGCAACUGGAAAACCAAUAUGGCUUGCAAGAAUCAUUGAAGAGCUGGAACACAAAAUUAUGAUGGGAAGGAGAAAGAAGCAGCAUAGGCAAAGGAGUUACAGAAGAAGAAAUAAUAGCUUCUUCACAAGUUACAUUUGUUUUUUUUGUUUUUUUUGUGCAACAUUGUGAUGUAAAUGAUGUUUAAUAAGUUUUUGGACCA